rnacentral:rRNA from 1 species
UACGUAGGGGGCUAGCGUUGUCCGGAAUCAUUGGGCGUAAAGCGCGUGUAGGCGGCCCGGUAAGUCCGCUGUGAAAGUCGGGGGCUCAACCCUCGAAAGCCGGUGGAUACUGUCGGGCUCGAGUGCGGAAGAGGCGAGUGGAAUUCCUGGUGUAGCGGUGAAAUGCGCAGAUAUCAGGAGGAACACCGGUGGCGAAGGCGGCAUCCUGGACCGGCAUUGACGCUGAGGCGCGAAAGCCAGGGGAGCAAACGGG